rnacentral:tRNA from 1 species
GCUUCUAUAGCUCAACGGUAGAGCGUGUUACUGUUAAUAACCUGAUAGAUGUUCGAUUCAUCUUAGAGGCU